rnacentral:rRNA from 1 species
UACGUAGGUGGCAAGCGUUAUCCGGAUUUAUUGGGCGUAAAGAGGACGCAGGCGGUCUUUUAAGUCUGAUGUGAAAGCCUUCGGCUUAACCGGAGUAGUGCAUUGGAAACUGGGAGACUUGAGUGCAGAAGAGGAGAGUGGAACUCCAUGUGUAGCGGUGAAAUGCGUAGAUAUAUGGAAGAACACCAGUGGCGAAAGCGGCUCUCUGGUCUGUAACUGACGCUGAGGUUCGAAAGCGUGGGUAGCAAACAGG